CGGGGUGCACCAGGCGCGAAAACUNUGCAAUGCGGGAAACCGUGACAAGGGAACUCUGAGUGCCCGUUAAAUCGGGCUGUCCAUCGGUUUAAAUAACCGGUGAAGAAAGGGCCGGGCAAGACCGGUGCCAGCCGCCGCGGUAAUACCGGCGGCUCGAGUGGUGGCCACUAUUACUGGGCUUAAAGCGUUCGUAGCUGGUUUGUUAAGUCUCUGGGGAAAUCUUCCGGCUUAACCGGAAGGCGUCUCAGGGAUACUGGCAGACUAGGGACCGGGAGAGGUGAGAGGUACUCCAGGGGUAGGAGUGAAAUCCUGUAAUCCUUGGGGGACCACCUGUGGCGAAGGCGUCUCACCAGAACGGCUCCGACAGUGAGGGACGAAAGCUGGGGGAGCAAACCGGAUUAGAUACCCGGGUAGUCCCAGCUGUAAACGAUGCGCGUUAGGUGUAUCGGUGACCACGAGUCACCGAGGUGCCGAAGAGAAAUCGUGAAACGUGCCGCCUGGGAAGUACGGUCGCAAGGCUGAAACUUAAA
rnacentral:rRNA from 1 species